UUAAUAGUAAGAUCUGCUCAAUGAAUAUUUAAUAGCCGCAAUUUGUGCUAAGGUAGCAUAAUCAUUUGUCUUUUAAAUGAAGACUAGAACAAAAGAUUUAACAUUUUUAUUAAUUUUUUAAAUCUAAAAAAUCCAACUUUUCUAAAAGUAAAAAACCUUUUAUAUAAAAAAAAGACGACAAGACCCUAUUGAACUUUACUUAAGUUAAACUGGGGUAGUAAAUUAAUUAUUAUUUUAAUAAAAAUUUUAUAAAAAGUAGCUUUACAUUAAAUAAUUAAGUUACCAUAGGGAUAACAGCGUAAUAAAAUUUUGAAGUUCUUAUCUAAAAUUAAGAUUACGACCUCGAUGUUGAAUUAAUAACCUAAUUAAAGCAAAAUUUAAAAUAGGAAGUCUGUUCGACUUGUAAAAAAUUACAUGAUUUGAGUUCAGACCGGUGUAAGCCAGGUCGGUUUCCAUCUUUUUACAAAAUUUUUGUAGUACGAAAGGACCUAAAAAUUAGAUAUUAUUUAAUAAUAUGGCAGAUUAAUGCAUUAGAAUUAGAAUCUAAUUAUCUA
rnacentral:rRNA from 1 species